rnacentral:pre_miRNA from 1 species
AGGAAAGGAAAAGUAGCAAGAGGCCUGUCAAUCUUCCUCUUGCUACUUUUCCUUCCCUUGC